GUGAGGAAUCUUCCACAAUGGGCGAAAGCCUGAUGGAGCAACGCCGCGUGAAGGAUGAAGGUCUUCGGAUUGUAAACUUCUUUUAUGAGUGAAGAAUAUGACGGUAACUCAUGAAUAAGCACCGGCUAACUACGUGCCAGCAGCCGCGGUCAUACGUAGGGUGCAAGCAUUAUCCGGAGUGACUGGGCGUAAAGAGUUGCGUAGGCGGUUAUGUAAGCGAAUAGUGAAACCUGGUGGCUCAACCACACAGACUAUUAUUCGAACUGCAUAACUCGAGAAUGGUAGAGGUAACUGGAAUUUCUUGUGUAGGAGUGAAAUCCGUAGAUAUGAGAAGGAACACCAAUGGCGUAGGCAGGUUACUGGGCCAUUUCUGACGCUAAGGCACGAAAGCGUGGGGAGCGAACCGGAUUAGAAACCCCUGUAGUCC
rnacentral:rRNA from 1 species